GGUUGGUUAGCUCAGAUGGUUAGGGCUUGGCAUUAGUCAUGCUAAGGUCAUGGGUUCAAUUCCCAUACUGACCA